AAGUCGUAACAAGGUAACCGUAGGUGAACCUGCGGUUGGAUCAUUAAAAAAAUCAAAAGCCUGUCAUCGAGUACCGCUUUGUCAAGCGCAAAGCUGGGGAAAAAUGAAUGUUGGCACCACAUCUUGUGAACCGUAUUUGUCUUUGGUGGUUGGGCGGUUGCUUGUUUCAAGCUUCCGUCUGUCAGCUUGUGUUUUACAAUGCAAGCCGUGGACAAGCCACCGUCUGUUUGUUCAAACCUAAUUGUCUUCUUUUUUUUUUGUCUAACAUUCUUUUGUAUAAAUAUACAAACAACUUUUGGCAACGGAUCUCUUGGUUCUC
rnacentral:misc_RNA from 1 species